rnacentral:rRNA from 1 species
UACGUAGGCAGCGAGCGUUGUUCGGAGUUACUGGGCGUAAAGGGUGUGUAGGCGGUUUGUUAAGUUUGGUGUGAAAUCUCCCGGCUCAACUGGGAGGGUGCGCCGAAUACUGAAUGACUUGGAGUGCGGGAGAGGAAAGUGGAAUUCCUGGUGUAGCGGUGAAAUGCGUAGAUAUCGGGAGGAACACCAGUGGCGAAGGCGGCGAUCUGGGAAGAUACUGACGCUGAGGUGCGAAAGCGUGGGGAGCAAACAGG